rnacentral:rRNA from 1 species
UACAGAGGUCUCAAGCGUUGUUCGGAUUCAUUGGGCGUAAAGGGUGCGUAGGUGGUUUGUUAAGUCCGUUGUGAAAGCCCUGGGCUCAACCUGGGAAUGGCAGUGGAUACUGGCGAGCUAGAGUGCGGUAGAGGGUAGUGGAAUUCCCGGUGUAGCAGUGAAAUGCGUAGAGAUCGGGAGGAACACCAGUGGCGAAGGCGGCUACCUGGACCAGCACUGACACUGAGGCACGAAAGCGUGGGGAGCAAACAGG